UACGUAGGGGGCAAGCGUUGUCCGGAAUCAUUGGGCGUAAAGAGCGUGUAGGCGGUCCGGUAAGUCGGCUGUGAAAGUCCAGGGCUCAACCCUGGGAUGCCGGUCGAUACUGCCGGACUAGAGUUCGGAAGAGGCGAGUGGAAUUCCCGGUGUAGCGGUGAAAUGCGCAGAUAUCGGGAGGAACACCUAUGGCGAAGGCAGCUCGCUGGGACGUUACUGACGCUGAGGAGCGAAAGCUGGGGGAGCGAACAGG
rnacentral:rRNA from 1 species